rnacentral:hammerhead_ribozyme from 1 species
AUCCAGCUGACGAGUCCCAAAUAGGACGACACGGACGUUUUGGAU